GGGGGGUCUUAGUUGCACAGUGCUCAGAGUUUUUCUAUAAUGUAGUUGAUCAUUAAAAUUCAUUUAAAGCAUAAACCCAAGCUAAAAGGGGAACAAGCUUAUCAAGCACUCAUGGUACAGCUUUUUAUUAAACACGUAUUGAUAUAUACAUUAAACAGCAAAAUAAUUAAUGAUGCAAGAUGUCAUUAAAUAAUAAUUUUUACUCUUUUUAUGUGUAGGACAAGAUCUAUAGAAGAUGCAGAGAAAUUAUAAACAGCAGAAAUGAUAGGCAAUUUAAAAUUUGCAGAAGUCAACAAAACCUAAAUGGUGAUCAGACAUCUUGGUUUUCAUGAUCAAUAGGUCAAUACUGAAGAGGAAACUGAAAGUUGAUAUCUAUCUACAUGGUGCGCUAAUUGGAUUAAUGUGAAAUGGAAUGUGUGCUUUCCUGCAAAAAAGAAAUAGGAAAUUUCAUCAUAAUCACAUGAUAAUGGCUAUAAACAAAAUGGAGUUCUAUCAUAGAUGCAGAAAAACACAAUUGUAUAAAUGCAACAACAUA